rnacentral:rRNA from 1 species
GACGAACGCUGGCGGCGUGCUUAACACAUGCAAGUCGAACGAUGAAGCACCAGCUUGCUGGUGUGGAUUAGUGGCGAACGGGUGAGUAACACGUGAGUAACCUGCCCCUCACUCUGGGAUAAGCCUGGGAAACUGGGUCUAAUACUGGAUACGACCGAUCUCCGCAUGGAAUGUUGGUGGAAAGUUUUUGUGGUGGGGGAUGGACUCGCGGCCUAUCAGCUUGUUGGUGGGGUAAUGGGCUACCAAGGCGACGACGGGUAGCCGGCCUGGGAGGGCGACCGGCCACACUGGGACUGAGACACGGCCCAGACUCCUACGGGAGGCAGCAGUGGGGAAUAUUGCACAAUGGGCGAAAGCCUGAUGCAGCGACGCCGCGUGAGGGAUGACGGCCUUCGGGUUGUAAACCUCUUUCACCAGGGACGAAGCUAACGUGACGGUACCUGGAGAAGAAGCACCGGCUAACUACGUG